GGGAGCGGCUGAGCCGGCUGGAGACGCUCAGCGCUGCCCAGGAGGAUGCGGCUGGGACAGACCCAGGCCCAGAACUUGCUCCACAGGCGAUGUCACCGUGGCACCUGACCGUGUCCCCGCGAACGCUGCUCUUCCUGGCCACCUGGCCCUUCGUCACCCAGUGGCUGCUGCGCCACUGGCAGGGCAGGAAGAGGUGACCCUCCGUCCCCCGCCACCGCCACCCCUCCUUGCCCAUCCUGCUUCGCACGAGCCGGGGAAGCGUCACGGAGCCACGCGGGAAUCGCCUCAC